UUUAACUGAAGAGUUUGAUCAUGGCUCAGAUUGAACGCUGGCGGCAGGCUUAACACAUGCAAGUCGAGCGGGGGAAGGUAGCUUGCUACUGGACCUAGCGGCGGACGGGUGAGUAAUGCUUAGGAAUCUGCCUAUUAGUGGGGGACAACAUCUCGAAAGGGAUGCUAAUACCGCAUACGUCCUACGGGAGAAAGCAGGGGAUCUUCGGACCUUGCGCUAAUAGAUGAGCCUAAGUCGGAUUAGCUAGUUGGUGGGGUAAAGGCCUACCAAGGCGACGAUCUGUAGCGGGUCUGAGAGGAUGAUCCGCCACACUGGGACUGAGACACGGCCCAGACUCCUACGGGAGGCAGCAGUGGGGAAUAUUGGACAAUGGGGGGAACCCUGAUCCAGCCAUGCCGCGUGUGUGAAGAAGGCCUUAUAGUUGAAAAGAACUUUAAGCGAG
rnacentral:rRNA from 1 species